rnacentral:rRNA from 1 species
GACGAACGCUGGCGGCGUGCUUAACACAUGCAAGUCGAACGAUGAUGCCCAGCUUGCUGGGUGGAUUAGUGGCGAACGGGUGAGUAACACGUGAGUAACCUGCCCCUGACUCUGGAAUAAGCGUUGGAAACGACGUCUAAUACUGGAUACGACUGCCGGCCGCAUGGUCUGGUGGUGGAAAGAUUUUUUGGUUGGGGAUGGACUCGCGGCCUAUCAGCUUGUUGGUGAGGUAAUGGCUAACCAAGGCGACGACGGGUAGCCGGCCUGAGAGGGUGACCGGCCACACUGGGACUGAGACACGGCCCAGACUCCUACGGGAGGCAGCAGUGGGGAAUAUUGCACAAUGGGCGAAAGCCUGAUGCAGCAACGCCGCGUGAGGGAUGACGGCCUUCGGGUUGUAAACCUCUUUUAGUAGGGAAGAAGCGAAAGUGACGGUACCUGCAGAAAAAGCACCGGCUAACUACGUGCCAGCCGCCGCUGUAACAC